UUCUGAACAGCGCCUGCCAGGUGUUAAGUAGGUGUCAGUAGGGUGAAUGGCCGAGUUGCUUUCCUCCUCCUGAGGUGCUGGUACCUGUUAGAGCCAGUGUUUUUCUGGGGGACAGUAACCAGUAACCCCCAGAAAGCCAACAGAACAAAACUGCAAAGCAUCAUUUUAAUUUAACUUCUUGCUUUUUCCCUCUUUUAGAGCGAUCAUCCUCUUCCCCAUCCGACUCUUCGCAGAAAGGAGCUGCCACGAGACUGGGGUGUUGACUGUGCAAGGCGCAAGGUGGGGUACUAACAUCUAUUG